UACGAAAAUGAAAAUUCCUACUUAAUUGGUUAAAAUAAAUAAAUGACUACUAGAUUAAAUUUUCCACCUUAUGUUGUGCGUGAGCUGGGUAUAGCUUUUAUGAAGCAUCUAUUUGUAGAGUUCUAUUUGGUCAUUUGAUUUUAGAUAUGUAGAGUAGAUAGGUCAUUUGAUUUUAGAUAUGUAGAGUAGAUAGUUUUUUGAAGGUUGAUUUGGAGAUUCAUGUGGAAUUUUCCUUGCAGCGUCAAAUUUAAGGUAUGUUUUCCUGCAUCUACUCCUUUUUGAGGAUUUUACCAUGCGAUCUGCUAAUUUCUCUAUUGGUGUUAAAGUAUUUAGUCCUUUUUGUAAGCUUUAGGGUUCUUCUGUCACGGAUCUAAUGUGAUAUGGUGUUCAUCAAUGAUCUGUGAUCCACCCAGGACGAGUUUCCCAUGACUCGUGCUAAUUUUACAUUAAUUAGCUUCUAUUAUCUUACAUAACAAUCUCUCCUUCCUAAACAGAUGGAGGUGUUUUAUUCAGAGAAGGUUAACUGCGGUGAAUUAUGGCGUAAUUAGAAUUUAAAUAAAUGUAGUAUGAGUUACAACUUUUAUAGUUAAAUUGUUGUUGAAAUUGAGGGGGAAAAAAGAACUGGUUGAUUCAACCCCCACAGUGUUUCCAUCUGAUUUUAUCAAUGACAGUAGAUAGUAACUAAACGUGUUCAGAAAUCAUCAACCCAUUCGGGAUUUCGGAACACGGGUUUGAGACUAGUUCUUAGGUUGUUUAUGUUCAGUGUUCGUGAAAAUAAGUGGAAGAUCUAAUGGAUUGAGAAGGAUCUUACUCCCUUCAAAGUACAUGGUUGACAAAAGAGGUACUUAUGAUGCUGCUGAAGCAUCUUGUUACCAUCCAACAAGUGUAACUACGAUUCUGUAGUUUGGUCAUGUCGACCAUUUACAUGAUGUUUUUGACAUCAUAAAUUUCCUUGAUUUGUCUCACCUCAUUCAAAUAAAUCUGAAUGCUAUGUUUUACUUGAGGGAAUAGCAAACACUUCUCACUUCUAAUCCGGAAUCUAUCUUUUCCUAGUUAGUUCCAUAAACCUGUGCUUUCCUGGGAUUGAAUGAUUCCAUAAUUUUUUGUUUCUUGCCAGCACUAAAUGAGGAAGACUACAUGUGGGAUUUUCGUGAACAAUAUAUUUUUGGCAGUGUCAUUCUGAAAGCUAAGAGGGAACAGGUUCUUAAUUUAGAUGAAGCGUGUAUGAGUAAAAUUUAUGAGUCUUAUUUGAGUUUUGUUGCAACACAGGAAAGAACUAAAGGGUAAAGUGAAAAAUGUCAAAGUGGCUCAAUAACAUGCUUGAUACCAAUCAACAAAUUCUCUUAGAAUAGGAUUAGUUUAUCAGUAUCAUAGACUUCAAAGGCCCUGUCAUUCCAGUGUUCUGAGAAAUUGAAGUUUGUUCAGGUUGGUUCGUUCCUUGUUAGUCCAGUUACUUAUGUUAUUAUGUGGGUCAUCAUGGUCUCUUUGUCCCAGAUGUUGGAGUAGAAGGUUGAGAAAUGGAAAUAUGAAUGGAAGUCUUUUUAACAAGUUUUUAAGCCUAAUCUGCCUAGUAUUUGUUUUAUUCUUAUAGAAGAAAACUCCCUUCCUGAUGUUUUCAUUCUUCAGCUUAGAAGCUAUGGACUCAUAAAAUUUCAUUUAGCUAUUUUCUGCUUCUGUUCCUAAGAGAAACCAUUAUGAUUGACAAAUUCAACUAUGACCUUUGCUGACGUUAGAUACUUAUCACAAGAUAGGUUGGGGAUCUAUUCUAUCUCUAGACAUCUUGAACAAAUCCUUUUACCAUUUCCUACCUUUGAGCAGGUCUAACUUCUUGUCAUGUUUACAUGGUUCUCUUCAUCAACAGUAUAUGUAUUGACUCAGCAUACUAACAACUGCAGUCGAUCUGUGUAGUGAUUAUUUUUCCCAUUAGCAUCAUUUACUUUCAUGUAGAAGCAGUGGCGGGGCCAGAAUUUUUAAUAAGGGGGUUCAAAAUCUGAGAAGUAAACACACGAACUAGUGGAAGGGGGUUCGACAUCUAUUAUACAUACCUAAAAAAUAAUUUUAACCAUGUAUAAAUAGUAAUAUUUUUCGCCAAGGGUGUUCGGAUGAACCCCCUAGGUAUAUGCUGCCUCCGCCCCUGUGUAGAAGUGUAUUUGAAUGUGUUGCGCAAAGUUUAAACAGCUUUGUGAAAAAACUGUUCACUGUAAAGUAUUGCCUGGUAUAUACAGUAUAUAACAAAAAGGCAUAAUCAGACAAGAACGCUCAUAAGUCACGUUGUAUGUCAACUAAAUUAAGUUGCCAGUUAUUAACAAAUACAUAUUUCAGAAGAAAUUUCUGGUUUCGAUUUGGAAAUCUCCCCUUAAUAUUAACUGCAAUAGUGCGGCAACCUUAUUUGCAUCAAACAGUAAGCACAUACAGGGUUUUCCCACAAUGCCCAUGAAAAUUUGGACCUGGGUAUUGCAAAUAUUGGUUAGCUGACCAUAUUUACUAUGUUUUCAACAUUCCAGUCGCCAGAAGUAUCCAUGCCCUUUCAUAACUUUCUUGUAUAUAAGUAUUAUAACUCCUAAACUUUUGGUAGGGGAUGUGUUUGAUAGUUGGCAACUUCCUCUCCUGUCUAUCUCGGCUUCAACCAUCAAGAUUUUGAUAUGUCUCUUUAUUUCUGAUCAAAGGAAUGUCAUUUUGUUUUCCUGAAAAUCCUACAUAUUUUUAGCAGGAUUGAAAAAUCUUCUUCCUAUUACUCAAACAAGCAAGAAAACUAUGUAAUUUUGGGCUUUUCAGUGGAUGAACAUCUUGCUUGAUGUGAUUUGUGAGACCAAUAUGAAAUGAAUUUGUAAUCACAGUGCCUAUAGUCUUUAGGAUUUGGGAGCGGGAGCAGUUCAUGGAGUUUAAAGAUGUGUGUUGACUGCAUUGAUUAGUGGAAAUGCUUUUCUGGUUUUUUAUCUGCAGGGCUUUGCUAGUAAAUAUCGUGAUGAUCCAGGAUAUCCGAUAUUCAGAACUCUAUUGGUUGUGAAUAAUGUUAUCCAUUUUGUCCUUAUGCAUAGUCAUCUUUUGUUGGGAUGGGCAGGCACUGAACUGGCUCCUAAUUCUUCAAUAACAGAAUAACAUUUGUAUUUAGGACUGAAAGACUGAGCAGAUUUACGGUAUACCAUUCUCCACCUCCCUUUUGGGGCACUAUUAGAGAACUCAUUUAGUGUGUCAACUAAAGGUUCCAUCUAUUACUUGUAUUAUUUUCUCAAGGUCUUAAUUUAGAACUUUUGAAGCUAUGUCGUUGCCUGUCAUCCAACGUGUUUCUGUUAAAUCACUUAUGUUAACUCCUCCUUGGUGGUGCUAUCUCAGACUAGUUCAGAAGCCUGGAAACUGAAGUCCCGUUGUUACCAUGACAAGUUGGAUCCAACUAGGAGGUUAUCCAACUGAAUUCUAUCAAAAAUGAAAGGUAUAGAUUCUUCGUGUGAAAAAAUAAGAGUUGACAGGUUAAGUCAACAGUAUGAAUAGCAUUCAUAAGGACAGGAUAAGUAAAGGCAUAUGCUCAAUGGAGUGCUCAACAGAAGGGUGCAUGUUGAACAGCAACAGUGACCCAAACAAAACUUUGGUCCAGGUUUCUAGCCUUUGAAAUGAGUCUUUAAAACUAACAUAUCCCAUUAGCACUUCUCUUAUCCUCACAAGUGAAACAACUCCAGGUAAAGUGAAUUAUGGAAUAUGGAGCAAGUACUGUCACCGGGCAUUUGGCAUCAAAAAGAGCAAAUUUCUGAGACAAGAAGUCUUGUAGCAGCCUCUUGAGUUAGAAGAGCUAGUUUCUCUUUUCCAUGUGGUAGGAGGUUCCACCAAGGUUCAGGUAUAUGUCAUCUUUUUCCCUUGCAAAGACACUUAUUGAAUCUUCUUUGCUGAUGUUUUACUAGUGUGGCUUAAUGAUUUUUGAGGCUAUGGACCAUUGAACCAAAUCCGUUGGAGCUUUCUCCACACACAUCUAAUAUUGCCAGUUGGUUUUCAUGAAGUGAAAAGGCAUUUGCAAAUGAGAUAUUUGGUCAAGUACUUCGAGAGUAGUAAAAAUUGUUUUCAGAAGCUAGAACAAAAACAAUUUUUGCUUUAAAAGUAUUUUUUUGUUGUUGUGAAAAAUGCACUUAGAGAUGCUUUUUAAAAAUGUAGCCAGAACACUAAUUGUUGCUCAAAAUUACUUUUUUCUUAUAUUGAACAGCAAAACACAAAAUCUUUGUUUUAUUUUCCCAAAGCAGGUGAUUCAGUAAAUUUGAAUUUGCUUGAGUUCCAAGGAUUCUUGAUACAUUACAUCAGUAUUAUGUUAGUUUGGCUGUUUCAAAUUUGUGCUGAUUGUCUUUUCAUAUAGAAGUGGUGUUCACUUCAUCAGAGCUAGAGAACAAUGUCAAAGUAAAAGCAGUAAAGAAAUAAGAAGUUGAAACAGAAGAUCCAUAUGAGAUUACUUCUUGGGGUUCAUAGAGACUACAGCUUUGUUCUACAAACUCAGUCAUCAGUCUGCAC
rnacentral:lncRNA from 1 species